rnacentral:rRNA from 1 species
GCCUACGGGAGGCAGCAGUGGGGGAUACUGCACAAUGGGGGAAACCCUGAUGCAGCGACGCCGCGUGGGUGAAGAAGCGCCUCGGCGCGUAAAGCCCUGUCAGCAGGGAAGAAAGUGACGGUACCUGAAGAAGAAGCCCCGGCUAACUACGUGCCAGCAGCCGCGGUAAUACGGAGGAUGCGAGCGUUAUCCGGAUUUAUUGGGUUUAAAGGGUGCGUAGGCGGUCCGGAAAGUCAGCGGUAAAAGCCCGGGGCUCAACCCCGGCGAGCCGUUGAAACUGUCGGACUAGAGACGGCGAGAAGUAC